UGGGGAAUAUUGGGCAAUGGACGAAAGUCUGACCCAGCGACGCCGCGUGCGGGAUGAAGGCCUUCGGGUUGUAAACCGCUUUCAGCAGGGAAUAAGCGCAAGUGAAGGUACCUGCAGAAGAAGCACCGGCUAACUAUGUGCCAGCAGCCGCGGUAAUACAUAGGGUGCAAGCGUUGUCCGGAAUUAUUGGGCGUAAAGAGCUCGUAGGUGGUUUGUUACGUCGGUUGUGAAAUUCAGGGGCUCAACCCCUGACUUGCAGCCGAUACGGGCAAGCUAGAGUUUGGUAGGGGAGACUGGAAUUCCUGGUGUAGCGGUGGAAUGCGCAGAUAUCAGGAGGAACACCGAUGGCGAAGGCAGGUCUCUGGGCCAAUACUGACACUGAGGA
rnacentral:rRNA from 1 species